rnacentral:misc_RNA from 1 species
GAUGAAGAACGCAGCGAAAUGCGAUAAGUAGUGUGAAUUGCAGAAUUCAGUGAAUCAUCGAAUCUUUGAACGCACAUUGCGCCCCUUGGUAUUCCAUGGGGCAUGCCUGUUCGAGCGUCAUUUGUACCCUCAAGCUUUGCUUGGUGUUGGGCGUCUUGUCUUGUAUUAGACUCGCCUUAAAGUCAUUGGCAGCCAGUGUUUUUGGUAGUAAGCGCAGCACAUUUUGCGUCUUAGUCCUUGAAUCGUGGCAUCCAUGAAGCCUUUUUUCGCUUUUGACCUCGGAUCAGGUAGGGAUACCCGCUGAACUUAAGCAUAUCAAUAAGCGGAGGA